rnacentral:rRNA from 1 species
GGGGGAACUCUGAAGCCUAGAGAUAGGGCUUUCCCUUCGGGGGACAGAGUGACAGGUGGUGCAUGGUUGCUCGUCAGCUCGUGUCGUGAGAUGUUGGGUUAAGUCCCGCAACGAGCGCAACCCUUGAUCUUAGUUGCCAGCAUUCAGUUGGGCACUCUAAGGUGACUGCCGGUGACAAACCGGAGGAAGGUGGGGAUGACGUCAAAUCAUCAUGCCCCUUAUGACCUGGGCUACACACGUGCUACAAUGGAUGGUACAAAGGGCUGCAAACCUGCGAAGGUAAGCGAAUCCCAUAAAGCCAUUCUCAGUUCGGAUUGCAGGCUGCAACUCGCCUGCAUGAAGCCGGAAUCGCUAGUAAUCGCGGAUCAGCAUGCCGCGGUGAAUACGUUCCCGGGUCUUGUACACACCGCAAAAACUGUAGCAAAGACCAUGCAAACGAGGAGACUCUCAGGUGGUGAGCCGGCGG